rnacentral:rRNA from 1 species
UGGAGCAUGUGGUUUAAUUACGAAGCAACGCGAAGAACCUUACCAGGCCUUGACAUGCAGAGAACUUUCCAGAGAUGGAUUGGUGCCUUCGGGAACUCUGACACAGGUGCUGCAUGGCUGUCGUCAGCUCGUGUCGUGAGAUGUUGGGUUAAGUCCCGCAACGAGCGCAACCCUUGCCUUUAGUUGCCAGCAGUUCGGCUGGGCACUCUAAAGGGACUGCCGGUGUUAAACCGGAGGAAGGUGGGGAUGACGUCAAGUCCUCAUGGCCUUUAUGACCAGGGCUACACACGUACUACAAUGGCCGAUACAAAGGGCAGCGACACUGCGAGGUGAAGCCAAUCCCGUAAAAUCGGUCUCAGUCCGGAUUGGAGUCUGCAACUCGACUCCAUGAAGUUGGAAUCGCUAGUAAUCGUGGAUCAGCAUGCCACGGUGAAUACGUUCCCGGGCCUU